rnacentral:rRNA from 1 species
GCCAGCAGCCGCGGUAAUUCCAGCUCCAAUAGCGUAUAUUAAAAUUGUUGCAGUUAAAAAGCUCGUAGUUGAAUUUCUGUUAAAAAUAACCGGUCUGCUUUUAUUAAAAGUGGUAUCUUGGUGUGUUUUUAGCAAUAAUGUCCUUUGAAAUUUUUUUACUUUAUUGUAAUAAAUAAUAUUCAGGAUUUUUACUUUGAGAAAAUUAGAGUGUUUCUAGCAGGCUAACGCUUUGAAUA